UACGGAGGGAGCUAGCGUUAUUCGGAAUUACUGGGCGUAAAGCGCACGUAGGCGGCUUUGUAAGUUAGAGGUGAAAGCCCGGGGCUCAACUCCGGAACUGCCUUUAAGACUGCAUCGCUUGAAUCAUGGAGAGGUUAGUGGAAUUCCGAGUGUAGAGGUGAAAUUCGUAGAUAUUCGGAAGAACACCAGUGGCGAAGGCGACUAACUGGACAUGUAUUGACGCUGAGGUGCGAAAGCGUGGGGAGCAAACAGG
rnacentral:rRNA from 1 species